rnacentral:lncRNA from 1 species
CUAGUUUAUGCUUAUUCUAUUCCAUUAAUCUAUUUUUCUAUUUUUGUCUUAAAUUGAAAGUGUUGAGAACUGAUACAAAAGCUGCCUGGUUUCCUAUUGUGUGAGUUCUGUAGAAAGUGAUCUUCUAACAACCCUAAAAUCUUAGAGCUAAAAGGGAAGUCAUUGAACCCAACCUUCCAGUGAACUUCACUUUUAUUUCUGAAUAUGACAAGCUUAGCAAGGCACCAUCCUGGAUAGCAUGCAAGAUGGGAGCCCCAAGUUGACGUCUUUCCCUAAGAAGAAGGAAAGGGUCAUGGUUGUGGAGGAAAGGUUCACCUGGAAAGCAUGGAACAAAAGCUUGUGCUUCUACUUAUGUGACCUGGGUGAGCCACUUACCUUAUCUGGGUCUUGGUUUCCUCCUCUAUAAAACAGAGGUUGGACUAGACCAGAGGUAUCAA